AAGUCUUGCAUCGUGGCAGA
rnacentral:miRNA from 1 species